GGCAACCCUGACGGAGCAACGCCGCGUGGGGGAGGAAGGUCUGUGGAUUGUAAACUCCUUUUCUCUGUGAAGAAGAUCUGACGGUAGCAGAGGAAUCAGCAUCGGCUAACUCCGUGCCAGCAGCCGCGGUAAGACGGAGGAUGCAAGCGUUAUCCGGAAUUAUUGGGCGUAAAGCGUCCGCAGGUGGUAUUUCAAGUCUGCUGUCAAAGACCGAAGCUUAACUUCGGGCCGGCAGUGGAAACUGAAAAACUGGAGUACGGUAGGGGUAGAGGGAAUUUCCAGUGUAGCGGUGAAAUGCGUAGAGAUUGGAAAGAACACCAGUGGCGAAGGCGCUCUACUGGGCCGUAACUGACACUCAGGGACGAAAGCUAGGGGAGCG
rnacentral:rRNA from 1 species